UUUCUAGCUCGGCUACAAAAAUGGCUCGAAGCAUGGCAUAUGAACAAAUCUCUGUCUGGCCGCUCUUGGCUAGGUCAACUUCUAAACAUGUACAUCAUUACCUGCAUCAUAAGAACCUAAUGAGCUAAUGGCUCAGCAAGUUGAAACGGAUGUAAUAGCAAUAUAUCACAUAACACGUUAUUCAUUCAAUGUGUACAGUAUCACAUAUAACUUCAUUCGUGAUCCUUUUCUUUCAAAUCUUUCUCUUUAUCGGGUACCCUUGAAGUGUGGUACUUGACUGAUAGCAAUAGGCUUUCGUUUUCGGAACCUGCUCAUCAUAUUUGGCCAAUAGAUAAUACGGGGGUUUCCAUACCGGCCUUUCGACCUCAGGUAUUAGCCGUAUUUCAUUUCAUUAAUUGUGGGUUUUCCAUACUGGUCUUUCGACCUCAGGUAUUUGCCACCAUGUGUUGGAUCCGCCGGUUCCUCCCGCGUCCCUUGCCUACUCGACCAUCAAUCAAGUACCAUACUCCCAUUUUCAAAACAUAUUCUUUCAUAUCACUAUGACCCAUCAAUCAUUCAAACAUCAUGGAGAACACGUAGCAAAAGUCACAUUAAAGC
rnacentral:lncRNA from 1 species